GACGAACGCUGGCGGCGUGCUUAACACAUGCAAGUCGAACGGAAAGGCCCUGCUUUUGUGGGGUGCUCGAGUGGCGAACGGGUGAGUAACACGUGAGUAACCUGCCCUUGACUUUGGGAUAACUUCAGGAAACUGGGGCUAAUACCGGAUAGGAGCUCCUGCUGCAUGGUGGGGGUUGGAAAGUUUCGGCGGUUGGGGAUGGACUCGCGGCUUAUCAGCUUGUUGGUGGGGUAGUGGCUUACCAAGGCUUUGACGGGUAGCCGGCCUGAGAGGGUGACCGGCCACAUUGGGACUGAGAUACGGCCCAGACUCCUACGGGAGGCAGCAGUGGGGAAUAUUGCACAAUGGGCGGAAGCCUGAUGCAGCAACGCCGCGUGCGGGACGACGGCCUUCGGGUUGUAAACCGCUUUCACCUGUGACGAAGCGUGAGUGACGGUAAUGGGUAAAGAAGCACCGGCUAACUACGUG
rnacentral:rRNA from 1 species